rnacentral:tRNA from 1 species
GGAGAGGUCGCCUAGUGGUCUAUGGCGGCGGUUUGCUAAACCGCUAUAUGGGUAAUACCGUAUCGAGAGUUCAAAUCUCUCCCUCUCCGCCA